rnacentral:rRNA from 1 species
AUUGAACGCUGGCGGAAUGCUUUACACAUGCAAGUCGAACGGCAGCACGGGGCAACCUGGUGGCGAGUGGCGAACGGGUGAGUAAUACAUCGGAACGUGCCCAGUCGUGGGGGAUAACGUAGCGAAAGUUACGCUAAUACCGCAUACGAUCUAUGGAUGAAAGCGGGGGAUCGCAAGACCUCGCGCGAUUGGAGCGGCCGAUGUCAGAUUAGGUAGUUGGUGGGGGUAAAAGGCCUACCAAGCCGACGAUCUGUAGCUGGUCUGAGAGGACGACCAGCCACACUGGGACUGAGACACGGCCCAGACUCCUACGGGAGGCAGCAGUGGGGAAUUUUGGACAAUGGGCGCAAGCCUGAUCCAGCCAUUCCGCGUGCAGGAUGAAGGCCUUCGGGUGUAAACUGCUUUGUACGGUAACGAAAGGACUCUGGUUAAUACCGGGCUCGAUGACGGUACCGUAAGAA